rnacentral:ncRNA from 1 species
AAAGUCCCUGACAGCAGAAGAUCUAGCGAAUCACGCUGUCCCCGAGUCAUGCGUUGUGGGCCGCGAGGCACACAGCGAAGCGUUGACAGGGGUGCGUAUAGGCCAGCCAUUGAGCCGCGAAAAGCAUAUUCAGUCCCGAGUGCCGACGUACUACUGUAUGCGGAAGGCAACACGGGUGGACGCGCUUGCGCGAGCGUCCACUUGACUCGGCGCGGUCUGAGACCC